rnacentral:rRNA from 1 species
CACGUAGUUAGCCGGCGCUUCUUAUCCAGCUACCGUCAACCCACCCACAAGGAGCGGGCCUGCUUCACUGGCGAAAGAGGUUCACAACCCGAAGGCCUCCAUCCCUCACGCGGCGUCGCUGCAUCAGGCUUCCGCCCAUUGUGCAAUAUUCCCCACUGCUGCCUCCCGUAGGAGUCUGGGCCGUGUCUCAGUCCCAGUGUGGCCGUCCACCCUCUCAGGCCGGCUACCCGUCAACGCCUUGGUAGGCCAUCACCCCACCAACAAGCUGAUAGGCCGCGAGCCCAUCCCCCACCAGAAAAAACCUUUCCCAACCCACCCAUGCGGACAGGCCAGAAUAUCCCGUAUUAACACCACUUUCGUGGCGGUAUCCAGAAGAAAGGGGCAGGUUACUCACGUGUUACUCACCCGUUCGCCACUCAUCCACCCCAACAAAAGCCAGGAGCUUCACCGUUCGACUUGCAUGUGUUAAGCACGCCGCCAGCGUUCGUCCUCGAGCCACGGAGUCAAACUCUA